ensembl:lncRNA
GUGACCCUGUUAGAACUAAUGGGGUGAUCUACCAGGCUCAAAGAAUGUGGUUCACUUUGAUCACUUCCCGUACUUCUGGCAGCAACCCCAGGUCAUGUGCUCCUGUCAGCCCCAUUCUGUGGCUGGGAGUAAAGAAGCUGUGAGGUGUUCUAGAACCUGUCCAGUGAAGUGUGGCUGUUGAGUGUGGGAUGAGCGUGCCAUUCCUGCCGGGGACUCCAGGCCUGGCCAAGCCAGAACAGCUCCGGCCUCUAGGUGUGGCUCCAGGACAAUCAACCCUAGGGGAGAGCAGCUGAGGCCACACUCGUCAAAGUUGCAGAGGAAGUUUCUCUGGCAGUCAGCCUGCUCCCUCUACUUGUCUCUGUUGGUGGAGACCGAACACAAAGUGCAGUGACUCAGAAGCCUUUGAGAGGGUGACUGGGGGCCUGGCCACCGCAAGGCACAGAGGCAGUGAGAUGGAUCGACCCAAAACGACAGUGUGCUGGGGAAAGAAGAAAUCAAGGCAGAAGGAAGAAGAAAAUGAACUCCAAGAAAUUCUGCCCAGUGAGCCUCAACAGCCCAAAGACCGUUUUUCAAAAUUCAGUGGGUGGCUUAUGAAAGUCCCCAGGAAAAGAAAACCAGACACUGCUAUUCAUCAGAAAGAAACUCCCAAAGACUUCCAAAAGUUGGUACAGAAGGGGCAGUUCCUGGAAGCCUGCCAGAGCAUCUCGGAGUUGUCACAGGAAGGGCAGGACUGUGGUCUCCAGUACAAGGUUGUGGCUGAGAGCAUGUGGCAGGUCAUCAAGGAGGCUCUGGGAGGCAUUGGGUACAGCCAGAAGCUGGAGCUAAAGCUCCAGGCAGUGGUGGCCACUGUGGAGUGGGUGGAGGACAACCCCCAGAGCUGGGAGGCCAGCGCCCUCGAGGAUGGUGGAGUUGCUUUCUGGGGAAGUCAUCUGGAGAGGCUCCUGAGAACAGAUGCUGAGGACCAAUUGCCCACUAUGAAGCCAAGCACCCAGCUGCGCCCGUACCUGAAGGAGCUGGACAAAGCUGUGGGACACAGCCUAGGGUCCCAGAGGGCAGGCCGGAUGGGGGACCCCCUCUGGGAAAUCUACAGGACGUGUUUCCAGGAGGUCCUCCUCAGCCGCCUCUCCGAGCUCCCUUCCUCCUACAGUCACGACAGGGAAGCCUACUUUGAGCUGUACAACUGGGGCAAGACGACCUUGUUUGGGCAGCUGGGCAGGGAGAUGCUUCAGAGAGUAGGUCCCACCUCCCAGAAGUCCAUGGCCGGGAACCUCUUGGACUCAAUGAUGUUCAUUACCUGGAUGUUCCAAAUGCAGGAGAAGCUGGUGGGGCUGAUCCAGGAGCUGGUCUCAGCUGUGGGGUGUCCAAGUGGUCAAUUCAGACAAGCAGCCAGAAAGAAGUAACAGUGCAGACUUUCGCGUCUUACUGAGGUGCUACCAGCAGGCACCCGCUCCCCUGUUGCACCCCCCUAGGACCGCUGCCUGGAGGAGUUGAAAAAGUGUCUAGAAAAUGUUCUGAUCUGUGAUCAGAAAAAGUGGACCGAGUCUGCCUCCUCAGUGUUCCUUGAAAUCUACCAGCUACUGAAAGAAGCUGUAGAUGCAGUCCGACACAUUGGGCCAUCCGUCACCAGACGGGUUCAAGCCAUGGUUCUGGAAACAUUUUCAAAGUUUCUGGAAAGGUAAGUGAAAAGGUGGCCCCUGCUCAGAGCAGGGGAGCAUGCAUGGCUGGGUCUACCUAACUCAAGUCAGAGAGCUAACUAAGCCCACCAGCCGCUGGCCACCACGCCUUGGCCAGUUCCCGAUGCAGGGAAGGGGGCGGGAUUGGCUUCAGGUCCCCCAAGUCGUGCCUGCUCCACCUCGUGCCCUGGCUCUGGAGGCAGGGGAUGGAAAUGUCCCAUGUCAGCACCAUCCAACAUGGAGGGACCAGAUCUGGGUGGUUGUUGAGCUAGUUCCACGGAAGAACUGAAGUUUAGAUUUUAUUUAAUUUUAAUUAUUCAACAUUUGAACAGCACAUGGGGCGUGGGGCUCCUGUACUGGACAGCAGGGCUGGGAUUGGGGGAACCAGGGAGGAAGCAUCGUGAAAGUGCUGCGUCAGAUCCUGUCCUGAUUUAAAACUUGGUGUUUUGUUCAUCAUGGACUUUUUGGCACAGAUUUCAAGGUUUAAAAAUAUUGCAGUAGGGGCCGGCCUGUGGCCAAGUGGUUAAAGUUCUGCACACUCCGCUUUGGUGGCCCAGGUUUGCGGGUUUGGAUCCUGGGCGCAGACCUAUACCACUCGUCAACCAUGCUGUGGUGGCAGUCCAUAUACAAAAUAGAGAAAGAUUGGCACAGAUGUUAGCUCAGGGUCAAUCUUCCUCCAUGGGGAAAAAAAUAAAUCGCAGUAAAUUACUUUUUAUCUCAGUCACUCAACUUCUUGGUGCUCCCUUAAACAAGCAGCCGGGGCCAGCGCCCCCUCUCUUCCCUCUGGUUUUCACAGCAGGACUUGCUGUCAAAUCCCUGAGCUGCUCACCCAGCUCUGUCCCAGCCGCAAGGGUUAGGUGGGGACUCUGCCUCUGUCUUAAUGGGCUUGGGUGAGAGGAGGUGCUGUGGAGUUCUUGGGGCUGUGGGGAAUUAUUAAGAAGCUAGUUUCGGACAAAGUGCUGUGUGAGGCUGCGUCAGGAGGCUCCUGUGUCUGGGGUCUUCAGAUGGCUGUGUUCACCUGGGAUGGGGUCUCCAAAGGUGCUGACACCAGGUGGGUUACUCAAGAGAGGCCAGAGAAGUGGAUUUUUAGGUGAAGUCAGCCGGGUUUUCAACGUUUCAGAAAAUCUGCUCAGUGGCCAGUUUGAGACCCUGAUCCGCAUUCUUGGGACUAGACGCUCAAGGGCACCUCUUCUUCCUUGCCUUUAGGGAGCAGGGAGUGUGUACGCUCUCUGCCACCUUUCUUCACUCUCUGCCUGGGGAAGGGAGGCCAGCUGUGAUGGCCCAGGUGGGCAUGGGGCUACCUCUCCUUCUUGUGUGCACUCCCAGGCCUUACUCAGACUCUCCCAGGGGGCCAGCCCGGCUCUGGGAGCGCUGCCUUCUUCCUGACCUUUUCCUUCACCAGCCAGGAAGGCUGGGCCUCUAGAAUGCAGGGUUAGCUGUGAUUCCAGACCACUGGGAAACCCUGCUCCCAUCCUUUUCUGGAAGCAUUUACCCCAAAAGGUCGUGGAGAGCGUUCAAUGAAAAGAUCCUCAGGAAGCAUCUGGCUGCAGCACCUGGCACAGAGCCAGCGCGAGUAAAUCCUCGCUGCGUAGUCUCCAUCACGGUUAUCAUCACCCACAUUUGUGAUUCUAUGAGAGAAGCAGCAGUUGAGAUGAGAAGGGAGAGUUUUGAGGGCCUGGCUGGGUGGGGCUGACCUGGGGGGCUAUGCCUGGUGGGAGGGGCCAGCAUCUUCUUCACACCGCAGCUACAAGGAUAAGGCUGAAGUCUUCAUCCAGCAGAACACCAGUGACCACACCUUUCCCGAGCUGCAUGUGCUGGAAAACUGCUGCAUCCUCAGGAAGACAUGGUGGUGGCUGAGCAGGGCGCACGUUCCCUGGGCACGCUUGGACCCAGCUGUGCAAGGUGCCAUCAAAGUCAUUGAGGACCAUGGCCGGGACCACCUCCUGCCUCGAGUCAGAGCCCUGUGCCAGGUGAUGUCCCGCACCCCAGCCCUGGCCUGGGGUCAUUUCUGCUCCCAGAGAAGGCUGGGCAGGAGGCCUGUCUCCCUGGCUUCCGUCCAGCCCAACAGAGCCUUUACUGGGACAGGACAUGGCAAAGUGCCAGCGAUGGAACCUGGUUGGAGAUGUCUCUGUCAGUCCUCCUGCCCUCCCCAGCCCUGAGUCCUGUGUGUGGAGCAGGAGAAGGACAGGGUCAGCUUCCUGUCUGGCCCGAGGGAGGGGCCCUGUCUGGGGGAGAGGGCUGGGGUGGGCCUGCAGCCCCUCAUGAGGCCUGGCUCCAUCCUCACCGAGGGCACCUCCCUGGGCAGGGUCCACAUUUGUGUCCCUCUGUCACCUCAGCCAGACCUGCUCCUUCUUCUCUCUUCCUGUGAAAUCAUUCAUUCUGCCAGGCCAGCUGAGGCCUGGCACUCGCUCCUCCAGGCCCGACUCCCUUCCCCCUCCCCCUGAUCCCAGCUCUGAGCCACGGGCAUCCCUAGGCAGGCGAAGCCCCCUGCACUGAGUUCCCAGGGCCUCCAUGCCCGUUCAUCUUUGCCUUCCCCUGAGCUGUGGCUGCCUUCAAGGCAGGGCCUUGCCCAGGAUUCAGGGCUCCCCGUGGAUGCCUGGGGCCUGACCCUGGAGAUGAAGCCCUGAGAGGGCAAGGGGUCCCCCAGGAUAUGGGAACCACAGGUGAGUUUCCCAUUCAAAUUCAGGGUUUGAGGCCUCCCGGGAUCCAUUCAACUUCUGGCUGAGGGCAAGGCCCACACUGGCCCUCUCUUCACAGGGACCUCCUGGCUGGGAAGAUGGGAGGUGCUGGUGAGGGUGGGUCUGCAUUGCUGCAGCUUUGUCCAAGGAUCCAUUUUCCACUGUGGGGACCAGCUUCUGAGGCAGCUGCCACUGAAUUUUCUACAGAGAUCUGAGCACCUGGCUCAGGGUGGCAUGGGAAGACCCAGAGGUGGAGAGACCUAGAGAGUUCAUCUCCUCUAGGGACAAGAAAAGCACAGCAUGCACACUGCCCUUGCCUCACGCUGAGGUGUGGCACACAUUGCCCAUCAAUCCCAACAUUCUUCUCAGGGCCCAGAUGGAGGCCCAGGCUCCUUCUCCACCCAGAGGUCCCAGCAGCCACGGCCAAUCAUGGACUUGGCUUCACAUUUCCUAGAUGAUGCUGACGAGGCUGCAUCACACAGAUUGGGCCCUGAGGGUCAUAGUGGGAAUGGGACUUGUUCAGGUCCCCUGAGUAGACACUCAGCAGGCUGGUUUUGCCUCCCCCACCCACCCACCUUUGGCAUCCACUGAGAACUGAGCAGACUGGGGCUGCAUGUGGGUGGAGCAGCUGUGGUUCUCGCCACCCCAUGUCUCUGGAGCUUAGCUCUGAGGGGAGCAAGCAUCGUCGGGGGCUCCCGCCAUGCCUCGGUGGUCACGGAGAGAGGGGAGGGACUCGGGAGGACUCGGGAGGGCUCUGAGAGAAGCUCGAGUCCAGGGCUGCUGUUUGAACCUGGGGCCCUCCCAGGAGUUGGCAGGAGAAGGGUGGACAGAGUUUUGGGGCAGAAAGUGGGCAAACCUCUGGCUCCCUCGGUGUGGGCCCUUCUGGUCCAGGACUGUGGGUCCAGCAGAGAAAGGUGGGUGUCACAGAGCUGGAGGGGGAAAGGAUGAGGGCCGGAGAAAUUAUAGCCAGCCUGGGCGCCUCGGGCUGUGGUGACAUCCGACCCUCCUGUCCUCAGAGUCUGCUGAGUUGUCACUUCGGAGAGAAGAACAAGGAUCUGGUCCAAUCUCUGCGGUCCCUGUGGCAGAGCCUGGAGCACUGCCCCAACAUGCACCCUACUCCCACAUACGAGAGCCUUGUGAGGAGUCUGAAUAUGGUGGUCUUUGGGGAGUACGUCCAGGCCCUGGCUGCUUAUCUCAGGAGGCUGGUGCCCAGGACUUCGGGGCACCUCCGUGCUCAGGUGGAAACGGACAUCUGGAAGCUGGGCACCACCUUUAGGGAGCACAGGGUCUCUUCUCUCACCCUGCUCCCUGCAGGGCCCAGCUUUGGACGAUCUACAGGAGUACAUCCUCCAGCUCAGUGAGAGCAGAGACAGACAGACUGUGGAUCAGUGGCUGGCCUCCUUCAGUGACAGUUUCCCUGGUUAUCUGAGACAGGGCAGAUCCACGGCUGUGGAGGAGGAGACUGCGAUCAGGGGACGCUCCUCAUUCUGCUGCAGACUUCUCCAGAACUUAAGGGCCUGCUGGCACCGUUGCUGCCCUAGCAGACGUGGAUGUGAGCUCUAGUUUCAGGAAUCUGCUUGUUCUUGGGGCUGUGGGAGUUAUGUGGCCCCGGUACCCAGCUAAAGCUAAGGAUCUGGGCGCCCCUGGCCACUGGAUGGCCACUUCACAAAUGGCAGCCUGAUAUCUAGAAGGAAGCCGAUCCUUCUCAAUUCUGGAUUCUUCAAUCAGAAAGAACUCUGAGAACUGACUGCAGCUAUCACAGACACCGGGCGAUGAAAGGCCGGCACAGUCAGUGAUCAACCCAGAAGAACGGGAGGGCAACAGGGAUGGCCAAGGACAGAUUAAGACACUCCUGGCUUGGAACGUGGUGGGAAGGAAGACACCCUGGAGGGAGAGUGAGGACGAGAGGGGCUAAGAAGAAAGCUAGAGCCCAAAGGAAGUUCCUCCCCAUCCUGGCUGCAUCGUGUGCCUUUCUUGUGCAUGUAACAACUUUAUUGAGAUACAGGUUACAUAGCACGCAAGUCACUCACUUAACUUUAAUGCACCAUUUGAUGGCUUUUGGUAUAUUCGCAGACUCGUGCAGCCACACCACAAUAAAUUCUAGAACAUUUUCAUUACCCUAGAAAGAGACCCCGUACCCGUCAGCUAUUAACCCCAAUCCCUCUUCCCCGCCCUCCCCCCAGCCCUAAGCAACUGCUACUCUACUUUCUGUUUGUAUAGAUGUGCCUCUUCUGGGCAUUUUUUCUAACUGAAUUGUGUAAUAUGUGGUCUUUUGUGAUUUGCUUCUUUCACUUAGCAUCAUGUUUCAUGGUUCGUCGAUAUCGUGACAUGUAUCAGUAUUUUAUUCCUUUUUAGAGCUGAACAGUAUUCCACUAUAUGGAUAGUCCAUGCUUUGUUUAUCCAUUCAUCCACUGACAGACAUUUGAGUUGUUUCCACUUUGGGGCUAUUAUGAAUAAUGCUGCUGUGAACUUUUGUGUGCAAAUUUGCGUGUGGCCCUGUGUUUUCAGUCCUCCUGUGUUCUACUUAGGCAUGGAAUUGCUGGAUCAAAUGGAACUCCAUGUUUAACUCUCUGAGAACUAGACUAUUUUUCCAAAAUGGUUGCACCAUUUUACAUUCUCACCAGUAAUAUAUGAGGGUUUCAAUUUCUCUACAUCCUCAUCAACACUUUUCAUUAUCUAACUUUUGCAUGAUAGCCAUCAUAGUGGGUAUGAAAUGGCAUCUCAUCGUGAUUUUGGUUUGCACUUCUCUGAUGGCUAAUGAUGUUGAGCAUCUUUUCCUGUUCCCUGAGGGGCCAUUUGUGUUUCUUCUUUGAGAAUUGUCUACUCAGAUCCUUUGCCCAUUUUUUUUUUUUUAAAGAUUUUAUUUUUUUCCUUUUUCUCCCCAAAGCUGCCUGGUACAUAGUUGUAUAUUCUUCGUUGUGGGUCCUUCUAGUUGUGGCAUGUGGGACGCUGCCUCAGCAUGGCCUGAUGAGCGGUGCCAUGUCCGCGCCCAGGAUUCAAACCAACGAAACACUGGGCCGCCUGCAGUGGAGUGCGCGAACUUAACCACUGGGCCACGGGGCCAGCCCCUCUUUGCCCAUUUUUAAUUUGGUUGUUUGUCUUUUUAUUGCUGAGUUGUAAGAGUUCUUCAUAUAUUCUAGAUUCAAGUCCCUAUAAGAUACGUGAUUUGCAAAAAUUUUAUCCCGUUUGGUAGAUUGUCUUUUCACUUUCUCGAUAGCGUCCUUUGAAGCACAAAAAUUUUAAACUUAUCUUUUUCUUUUGUUGCUCGCACUUUUAGUGUCAUAUCUAAGAUAUGAUUGCCAACUCCAAAAUUAUGAAGAUGUGCUCCUGUUUUCUUCUAAGAGUUUUAUAGGUUUAGCUGCUCUACUUGACACCGUCAGGGGUAAUUUUGGAUAUGACAUGGGGUAGGGCUCAACUUCAUUCUUUUGCACAUGGCUCUCCAGUUAUCUCAGCACCGUGCGCUGAACAACUAUUCUCUCCCCCAUUGAAUUGUCUUGGCACUCUUGUCAAGGGUUGGAGGAGUGGGGUCCAGGAAGUCUUCUCAAAGGAGGGACAGACACCCCAUUCCCGUCAGGUGGGAAGGAGGGUAGGAAUUUGCCAGAGGACGAAGGAAGGGUAAGGAGGGAAUGACGGGAGAAAUCAGCUGGGGUGAAGGCCAGGAGGUGGGAGCCAGAGGUGGGUCGGCGUGGCUGAGGCUGGGUAGAGGGGCAGGGAAUGGUGUGGUCAGACGAGUUCUCAUGAGCCCUUGUCCAGGCCAGAGACUUGGACUCUGGUCCUGUGGCAGCUGGAACUGAAGGGCUUCCAUCAAGGGUGACCCCGUUGUGGGACGGUUGCCCUGGCAGCUGCUGGCAGAGGAUGGAGGGGAGUGGCCAGGAUGGCGUGACCCUCUGCUUGUGGGACUCAGCCCCUCUGUCUGUCUGUCUGGGAGACAGAGGAGGGAACUGUCAUUGCUGUGUCACUUGCAUAGUCUCAUCUGCUCUGUCUCCUCCCUGACAACCUUUUGAAAUGGAUCUGUCACCAUUUUGACAGAUGAGAAGACUGAGGAUCAGCGGGCAGAGUGACUUCAGGGUCACCCUGCUUUUCAGCAUUGAUAUUGGGACAAACCCAGGACUGCCCCACCCCUCAGUCUCCUGAGUGUUCAGUUGUCUCCUGUGCCUGAAGAGUGGUCUGUAGGGUGCCCCAGCGUCCACCAGAGGGCGCCAAAACCAAGAUUGCCUGAUGCAGCCCCCUCCCCCACGGACUCAGCAUCUCAGGGGCAGCCUUCUCCCCACCCCCCCUUGACUGAGAGUCCCAGAGGCGGCCCCCAACCCUAGCCCCCGUCAAAGGUUGGCCCCAGUCUGGGCUUCAGAGAACUCAGACCUCACGUCCAGGGUGCUCUCAGGCCCCCUGUCAUCCCAAGAUAACAGGGUGGAUUGGGGCUGGGCCAAAGGAUGGGGGAUGUGGGAACCCCAGGCAGUGACCAAGAAGGAGCCCCUUCACUGUCCCUAAACAUUUGGCAAACUCUCCAAAAUCUUGGAGAGGCUCUGGAGUGUGGCCACUUGAAGCCCUGCGUCUGGGCCAAGCCUCUGCAGGGAUCUGGGCUGCUCUGGGACAGGGUUUCCCUGCCUGGCAGCAGCUGGUCAGGAGGAAUCCUUGUCAUCCCCACCCACAGCCCCAGGGUCACAUUGCCGUGAGGGCAGUCUCAUGUCCACCAUCCUGGAACUAGCCUGCUGAUCUCUCCCUCCUGCCAGCCAGGGAGAUCAUGUAGAGCUGCCUGUGACCUGGGGCUGCCCACACUGUGACCUCACAGUGUCCUAAGAUCUCAAGGAGGACAGGAAGCCAGGCCAAGCAGCCUGCCCCUUGCCCCCUCCUGGUGCCUCUCCCAGCUCCAGAUGGGUGGCCAGGAUGUGACAGGACCCAGGCCAGAGAAAGAGACAUGAGGGUGUCACAAGGGGCUGGUGGGGACAUCUGGGGGCUACUUGAAAGGGUCCCCAGGAGGGACCCAUGCUUCUCCGUGCAGGACGAUGGAGGAGUUGUUCAGCAUCUUUCCACUAUGAGGGCAAUGCCGCAAGAAUCGUGGAGGAGAGACCUGGAGCCUGGGCUCCCCUGGUCCCAGGAAUUAACCAAUCCCAGGACCACCGAGUUGGUGAGCUGUAGCCAAAAGCAUCCAGAAGAUGCAUGUCCUCACCCAGAGGCAGCGCGCCCCACCCACCCCCACCACGGACUCACAUUCCUCAUGGGGCUCACCCCGCUGAGGUGACUGCGUGACUGGAGCGCUAUCCUGCUCUUGGGUGGUUUGAUAAUUUUAUGACAAUAUCACCCAAAUAAGCUGCAAAUCCAAAGUCAUCUCUAUCAAAAUGCCAUGUAGAUCUUUGGAGAAGCUCAGUAAACCUACGCUACAACAGAAGGACCAUGUCACCAAACAGUGAAGUCACCAUAAAAAUGGAGAAUAUCUGAUGGGAAGACCCUACGAAUUCAUGGUCAGAGAACAGUUUCUUCUAACUGCACAAGAGGGCAGGGAGCUGGAGGUGGGGCUGGGGGGUAGGAGACCCUCACCUCGUACUCAGGGGCACUACCACCAAGAGGUGAAGAGCCAACUGUGUGGGAAAUGGUGUUGGGCGCUGGAUCACUACAUGGAGAAAGUAAACAUGGCCUUGACUUAACGCUGCACACAGAGGUGGGCUCCAGAGAGAAUCAAGACCCGAAUGUAAAAGGCAACAAUUUGAAGUUAGAAGCAAGUGUAGGAGAAUCUUUGUAACAUCUGAGCAAGGAAGAAUUUCUUACACAAAGAUCCCAAAGCAUAAUCCAUAAGGCAAAAAACAAUGACAAAUCUGAUUCCAUCAAAACUAGCACUUCUUGCCAAUGGACACCAUGGACAAGUUAGAAAGAGAUAAGAGGAUGGGAGAGAGACUUGCAAAGUCUGAAAUUAAGAGACCCGUAUCACUGGAAUGGACAGGAACGCCUGUGAAUCAUCAAGGCUGAUGGACGGGGCAGUGAGUGAGGCAGGGGCUUUGUUGGGACCUCAGGGUGUGUGUGUGUGUGUGUGUGCACGCGUGUGUGCAUGUGCGGGGGGUGAGGGGCAGGGAACGUUCCUGGGACCAGGAAGAGUGUGUAUCUGUAUUAGCUUCAUGUUCCUGCUGUAACAAACUGGGUGGUUCUAAAAACAGAAAUUUAUUCUCUCCCCAUCCUGAAGGCUAUAAGUCUGAAAUUGAGGUGUCGGCAGGGCUGUGCUCCCUCCAAAGGCUCCAGGGGAGGCUCCUUUUUGGCCUCUUGCAGCUUCUGGUGGCUGCCCCGGUCCUUUCACUCGAGGUGGCCUCAGUCCUCACAUGGCCUCCUCCUCUGUGUGUGUCAAAUCUCCCUCUGCCUCCCUUGAGUAAGGACACAUAGGAUAUCAUUUAGGGCCCACCCAGAUAAUUCAGGAUAAUCCAGGAUAAUCUGCCCAUCUCAAGAGCCUUAAUUUAUUAAAAUCUUCAAAGAUGUUGACAUAUAAGGACAUGGGCAUGGUUCCGUGGAUGAGGACUUGGUAUCUUUGGGGGCCAUGGUUCAGCCCACCACAGUGUCCCAGCCAGUGCAGAGCAGGAAGGCACCCAGCUCUCCCUCCCAGCCUGAUCUCACUCCCUCUGCGCCCUGAGGCUGCCUCAACUCUGCCUUCCCCUGCUUGUCGCCUGACUGAAUGACUGAUGGAGCUUGUGUUGAGACCAAGAUUCUGUGUUCAAUGAUCCAGGAGGAAACAGAGUGCAGAUAGGGGCAGGGGGAGCUCAGGGUCCCAGGGCACAGAGUGAGGAGCUGCCCCUCUGAGAUCCCCUUGUUGUCACUAUCACCCACUAGAAUGGAGCACUGAUUAGGUUCCAGGCACUGUGCUAAGCUGAGCCUGGUGGUCUCCCCUUACCCUCAUCUGCAUCCUAUGAAGAGCUACCCUUCUCACACUCAUUUCCUACUUGUCCUGUUCAAGGCUGCAUACUGAACCUGAGAUCGGAACCACACAGCCCAGUGGGAGCCCCAGUGUUAACAGACAGAACAGGAAAAGUAUGUAGAGCAUCUUUACAGCCUGCCCCACCCCCCUAAGCUACAGCUCUUCACCCAUCAGUCCCACAGAAAUGAAGGGCUGGCAGCACCUGGUGUCGGGGAAGGUGUGAGGGGACGGGCAUGGGCUACACAGGUUCCUCUGAUGGAACACGGCUUCGGUUGAAGACUUUCCACCAAACCAUCUGGAAAAGAUAAGCCGCUUUCAGUGAGCACCCCCUUUUUCAUGUGACUACCAAGCACACUAGAUAAAUUUGCCAUAAAAGCGACAUUUUGACGCUUUGAUUUGGGCACAGACAUGCCCAUCAAUUUGGUCAUCAUAGCAAUUUCUAGUCAAAGAAAGUCGUGGGGAGCCAAUGUGAACUGUGCCCCUGUCUGGAAGACCCCAAAUGUACUGCUUCUCAUAGACCUGCCAGGUGAGGGGACACAGUGGGCGCCUCUUCCACACUCUCCCAUCUGCUGGGUGGUGAGGUUUUUUUCCGUGUCUUUGACAGCAUUCCUGUGUUUUGCCUUAUCGAUUUUGUGUGUGUGCAAUAACUUUGUUAUUUAUUUAUUUUUUAAAGAUUGGCACCUAGGCUAACAACUAUUGCCAAUCUUUUUUUUUUUUUUCUGCUUUAUCUCCCCAACCUCCCCCCCCCCCCAACACACAGUUGUAUAUCUUAGUUGCAAGUCCUUCUAGUUGUGGGAUGUGGGAUGCCGCCUCAACGUGGCCUGACAAGCAGUGCCAUGUCUGCGCCCAGGAUCUGAACCCUGGGCCGCCACAGUGGAGCAUGCGAACUUAACCAUUCGGCCACGGAGCCAGCCCCAGUAAUAACUUUAUUUUUAAGUAUAGCUUCAGUGAAAGAUAAAGAUAAGCCUCUCCCAGUGGUUGAAACAUUGGUAAAGAAAAUGGUGUGGAAAGAACGUGUCUUCUGAAGAAUAACUCCCUUGCACCUGCCUUCAUCAGCCACCACCUGUCAUCAAGUCUUCUGUACCACCUUUGUGGGCAAAGUAAUUCUUAAUUACAUUAAAUUUUAUGUACAAGUGGUAUUUAUUUACUUUGAAAUUAUUGAAGCUGUUCCUUACUUUUUUUAAAUCGUUUUUCAUUGUUCAACCAAUGUGUUUUUCUACAUGUGAAAAUUGUUUGACUAUCUUGGAUUGGGAUAGAAUAGAGCAUUUUCUUCCAUUAAAUUGAUAGAAAUAUUUAAAAAUUUUAAUGGCUUGUUAUUUAGCAUCAGAGUUUUCAGGAAUGAAUUAACUUGUUAAGUGUGAGAUAUGUGCAUUAGAAAAACAUCACUCUUGAGAAGUCAGAAGAACAGUAUGUUAAACUGAAAAAUAGAAAGAAACAUAGAGGUAAGAUCAGAAAUUGGUGACAUAGAGGGGCUGGCCCCGUGGCCGAGUGGUUAAGUUUGCACGCUCUGCUUCAGCGGCCCGGGGUUCGCUGGUUGAGAUCCUGGGCGUGUACACAGCACUGCUCAUCAGGCCAUGCUGAGGUGGCAUCCCACGUGCCACAACUAAAAGGACCCACAAAUAAAAAUAUACAAUUAUAUACCAGGGGGCUUU